AGCGAACGCUGGCGGCAGGCUUAACACAUGCAAGUCGAGCGGGCACUUUCGGGUGUCCGCGGCGGACGGGUGAGUAACGCGUGGGAACGUGCCCUCUGGUUCGGAAUAACUCAGGGAAACUUGAGUUAAUACCGGAUACGCCCUUUUGGGGAAAGGCUUGCUGCCGGAGGAUCGGCCCGCGUCUGAUUAGCUAGUUGGUGAGGUAACGGCUCACCAAGGCGACGAUCAGUAGCUGGUCUGAGAGGAUGAUCAGCCACACUGGGACUGAGACACGGCCCAGACACCUACGGGAGGCAGCAGUGGGGAAUAUUGGACAAUGGGCGCAAGCCUGAUCCAGCCAUGCCGCGUGAGUGAUGAAGGCCUUAGGGUUGUAAAGCUCUUUUAUCCGGGACGAUAAUGACGGUACCGGAGGAAUAAGCCCCGGCUAACUUCGUG
rnacentral:rRNA from 1 species